AACGAACGCUGGCGGCAGGCCUAACACAUGCAAGUCGAGCGCCCCGCAAGGGGAGCGGCGGACGGGUGAGUAACGCGUGGGAACGUACCCUUUGCUACGGAAUAGCCUCGGGAAACUGGGAGUAAUACCGUAUGUGCCCUUCGGGGGAAAGAUUUAUCGGCAAAGGAUCGGCCCGCGUUGGAUUAGGUAGUUGGUGGGGUAAUGGCCUACCAAGCCGACGAUCCAUAGCUGGUUUGAGAGGAUGAUCAGCCACACUGGGACUGAGACACGGCCCAGACUCCUACGGGAGGCAGCAGUGGGGAAUCUUAGACAAUGGGCGCAAGCCUGAUCUAGCCAUGCCGCGUGAGCGAUGAAGGCCUUAGGGUUGUAAAGCUCUUUCAGUGGGGAAGAUAAUGACUGUACCCACAGAAGAAGCCCCGGCUAACUCCGUGCCAGCAGCCGCGGUAAUGUCUGUACU
rnacentral:rRNA from 1 species